rnacentral:piRNA from 1 species
UGUGUGGCCAAUUCCUGACUUACC